GAUGAAGAACGUAGCGAAAUGCGAUACGUAGUGUGAAUUGCAGAAUUCAGUGAAUCAUCGAAUCUUUGAACGCACAUUGCGCCCCUUGGUAUUCCGAGGGGCAUGCCUGUUCGAGCGUCAUUUCAACCCCUCAAGCUUCGGCUUGGUGUUGGGCCGCGCCGCUGCACCAGCAGCUGGCGGGCCUCAAAAUCAGUGGCGGUGCCGUCUCGACUCUAAGCGUAGUAACAUCUCUCGCUCUGGAGACCUGGCGGUGGCUUGCCAGACAACCCCCAACUUUCUUUAAGGUUUGACCUCGGAUCAGGUAGGGAUACCCGCUGAACUUAAGCAUAUCAAUAAGCGGAGGA
rnacentral:misc_RNA from 1 species